CUGCAUUUAUUUGGAAGUGCAGCAACCCUUGUGGAAAUACCAUAAUGUCUCCCUUAUUAAGAGAUUUGAAGUAAACAGUAUUAGCUGAAGAAAUGAACCCAGCACAGAUAGACCCUUGUACCACAAUUAGGGCUUCUGAAGCUCCCGGGUGGGUGUGCAUGGGAACAACACCGCCAACUGCCAAGUCCAAACGAGCCAUGGAGAGUCCAAGGCUGUUUAAACCAGGAAAUUGGUCGACAAAGGCCGGUGUCACAGCAGCUUUAAUAAGGCUUGAGAUGUUGCCAGGGCUUCCCAGGCCAGAGUAAACAAAAUCGUUUACGGUGACUGCUGCAGGUUUCUUGCAAGCGUAGCCUGCAGGGCCAUCAGGACCUGACAAGUCCGCAACGCAGAAGUCGUUCACUGCAGCAUAAGAAGAAGAAUAUAUGAGAGAAAAGAUGAGAAAGAUGUAGAGAAUCAUCUUGCUC
rnacentral:lncRNA from 1 species